CCUACGGGAGGUAGCAGUGGGGAAUAUUGGGCAAUGGACGCAAGUCUGACGCAGCAACGCCGCGUGAAGGAAGAAGGCCUUCGGGUUGUAAACUUCUAUCAACGGGGAAGAGCAGAAGACGUUACCCCUUGCAUAAGCCACGGCUACCUACGUGCCACCAGCCGCGGUAAUACGUAGGGGGCAAGCGUUAUCCGGAUAUAUUGGGUGUAAAGGGAGCGUAGACGGCAGCACAAGUCAGGAGUGAAAUGCCGGGGCAUAACCCCGGAACUGCUUUGGAAACUGUGCAGCUAGAGUGCAGGAGGGGUAAGUGGAAUUCCUGGUGUAGCGGUGAAAUGCGUAGAUAUUAGGAGGAACACCAGUGGCGAAGGCGGCUUGCUGGACUGUAACUGACGUUGAGGCUCGAAAGCGUGGGGAGCGAACAGGAUUAGAUACCCGAGUAGUC
rnacentral:rRNA from 1 species